UACGUAGGCAGCAAGCGUUGUUCGGAAUUACUGGGCGUAAAGAGUGUGUAGGCGGUGUUCCAAGUCUGGUGUGAAAAUCUCCCGGCUUAACUGGGAGGGUGCAUUAGAAACUGGAAUGCUAGAGGAUGGGAGAGGUAAGCGGAAUUCCUGGUGUAGCGGUGAAAUGCGUAGAUAUCAGGAGGAACACCUGUGGUGUAGACAGCUUACUGGACCAUUUCUGACGCUGAGACACGAAAGCGUGGGUAGCAAACAGGAUUAGAAAC
rnacentral:rRNA from 1 species